AUGCUCACUUCAACAGCACAUAUAUGCCAAAAUUGGAGUGACACAGAGAAGCUUAGCAUGGUCCCUGCACAAAGAUGACAAAAAUUCAUGAAAUGUUCCAUAUUUGA
ensembl:snRNA U6 U6 spliceosomal RNA